CUUCAAGCUGGAAUAGGGAUGACACAUCCUUUAACCCCAGGCAGAAAAGCUUUGCAUGGCCUGCUCUUACAGCACUCUCAGAUGGGAGCCCAGGCCUCUAAUAUUUAAAACUUGAUGCACAAACUGUUUUCUGGCAAGAUUCUGCUGCAGCCCAUCUGCUGGUCUGACAUGGUGCCCACUCAGAAGAUACAAUGCCAGUUUCAGUAGGGUACAGGUGCCAAAGACAACUGAAGCAGUGCCCUCUGCGAGGCAACAGCAUUACUCAGCAUAUGGAAGAAGAAUCCCCACACAUGAUGUGGCAGAACACUGCAGUGUAAGAGCAAUGACUUCUGCAGGCUUUGUAACAGGCUUUUGAAUACCAUGGAAAAUGAGUUACACAUUCCAAGUUAGGACUUUCAGCUUGCAGGGGACCCAAAAAGAAAAAGAAAGGGGGAAGAUUCCAGAGGAAGCACUCAUCAGCAAGAACUAGUAAAGGGCUACAAACCAGUUGUGAGACAUCAAUGCCACAGCCUUCCACAGGUGCUCUCCAUUCUGCUCCCCUCAUCAAAGGGUGACAGCUCUACCUGAGAGCAAAUCAGCACCAGCAACACAAACAUUUGGAACAG